rnacentral:rRNA from 1 species
GACGGAAGGUGCAAGCGUUGCUCGGAAUCACUGGGCGUAAAGGGUGCGUAGGCGGCCGUGCAAGUCUGGCGUGAAAGCCCCGGGCUCAGCCCGGGAAGUGCGCUCGAAACUGCGCGGCUCGAGUGCCGGAGGGGAGAGUGGAAUUCCUGGUGUAGCGGUGAAAUGCGUAGAUAUCAGGAGGAACACCAGUGGCGAAGGCGAGUCCCUGGACGAUACCUGACACUGAGGCACGAAAGCUAGGGGAGCAAACAGG